GAGGUUCUUGGUUUGUGUUCGAACAAGGAAGAGAGGUAGCUUGACACCAUCAGAGCCUCAAGAUGAAAGUUCGAACUUUAAUCUACUUCUUCCUCACUCUGCAGGAUGGAAACACUGGUCUCAUCAAUUCAGAGGAACUCCAUACAGGAACUGAAGGAGGAAACAUCACAGUUAAAUGCAAAUUUUAUUUCUCUGGCAGCAGGAAGCUGUUCUGUAAAGAAGAAUGUACAACAGGAAACAUUCUCAUUGAAACAACCAAUGACAGAGCUCAGAGAGACAGAUACAGUAUUGAAUAUAAAGAAAGAUCAAACAUCAUGUAUGUGAGCAUCACACAGCUGAAAAAGUCUGACUCUGGAUGGUACACAUGUAGUUUGGACAGAACAUUUGGUCCUGAUGGUUAUGAGAAGUUUGAGCUCUUGGUGACAGAAGCUUUAACUGCUUUGAAGCCAAACUCCACUCACCAAACUUCUACAUCACCUUCAUCAUCCUCCACACAACCACCAACAACAACAUCAACAACACAGAGUUCAGUCUUCUGUUCGUCUACUGAAUCCACCAAACAUCCUGGGACUGAAUCACCUUCAGGUUCAGGUACACUGCUGUAUGUGAGUCUGACCCUGGUCACCAUAAUCAUCAUAUUAUUAGUGGCUGUGCUAAUAUUCUGCAGAAAGAAGCCCAAGAAAAUCAAAGAACAUCUCAGGGAAACCGUGUAUGCUGAGACUGUCAGAGAGGUCAGCCAGGUGUAUGAGGAGAUCGAAGAGGAGGACAGACAGAGCAGAUCUCCUGAUGUGAAAGUCUCUACAGUUUACGCUUAUGCCAAAUACAACAAACCAAAUGGAGUCGACACCACAGAUGAAUACAGCUUAGUCACUGUCCCUGCAGCCUGUGCUCAGAACCCAAUUAAAGAUAUCUCCACUCAAUUAAUCUACUCUCAGGUGGAUUUUCCAAAUGUUCUCCACAGCGUCUCCUCUGGUAACACAGAUAAUGUCAUCUACUCUGCACCUCGGGUUCAAGCAAGUUCUACUAAUGGGACCAACGACAGUUCACCUUCUCUCUACUCAAAUGUUGCUCUACAUCAGGUGUAGCUCUGCUGAUGUGACAGACUUCGAGAAGUGAUGUUUCUUUUCUUCAUUAUUUUUACAUUAAUUUGCAGUUUCAUUGGUGUUACUUUUUAUAUUUUUGCUUAAUAAACUACUGUGGGUCAGUUUAUUUAAAUAUUUUGAUUAGAAAAAAGGUCAUUUGUUCUGAGAACUAUUGUCUGUCCAACAGUAAAGACUCAAAGAGAUGCAGAGAAAAAAAGAGGUGUGCUUUUUACCCUGAACUCCCUGAGAUGGGAAACAUGUGGAGCAUGUUCCAGGUGGCUAUACAAACUCAGCUAAGUCAAUAUAUAGAUAUAUAUAUAAUAAUGCUACAAGUUAAUUAUUCAGAUGAUUUGUAUAAUAAAGUUUGUACUACAAGGAGAUGAUAAAAACAAAAAUAACAAAAAUGUAUUUAUCAAUAAUUAAUAAUGUAUUUAUUUAAUAAAAAAUGAUGCUCAAGACUUUGACAUAUUUAAUGUGUAAAUUCACAUAUCCUAUAAAAUGUUGUUUAAACAAGUCAACCACAGCCUUUAUUUAAAAAACAAACUUACUUCUACAGUAAAUGAAGUCUGCCUCUAAGUAAAUUUAAGUAAAAUUCAAGGCACACAGCAAAUUCCCUGUCUGCCGCUGAUAAUAACAUGG
rnacentral:lncRNA from 1 species